rnacentral:rRNA from 1 species
UUUUCGCUCUAAGAUGAGUCCGCGUAAGAUUACGCUACUGGGGUGAUCGGUGAGGUAGCGGCUCACCAAGGCGACGAUCUUUAACUGGUCUGAGAGGAUGAUCAGUCACACUGGAACUGAGACACGGUCCAGACUCCUACGGGAGGCAGCAGUAGGGAAUAUUGCACAAUGGAGGAAACUCUGAUGCAGCGACGCCGCGUGAGUGAUGAAGGCCUUCGGGUCGUAAAGCUCUGUCGCAGGGGAAUAACACAAUGAAUGUACCCUGUAAGAAAGGAUCGGCUAACUUCGUGCCAGCAGCCGCGGUAAGACGAGGGAUCCUAGCGUUGUUCGGAAUUAUUGGGCGUAAAGCGGAUGUAGGUGGCUUUGUAAGUCAGAUGUGAAAGCCCAGGGCUCAACCCUGGAAGUGCAUUUGAUACUGCGAAGCUUGAGUGUCGGAGAGGUUACUAGAAUUGUUGGUGUAGUUUUGUUUUAGGUAGAUAUCAACAGGAAUACCGGAGGCGAAA